rnacentral:rRNA from 1 species
CCUACGGGAGGCAGCAGUGGGGAAUAUUGGGCAAUGGGCGCAAGCCUGACCCAGCAACGCCGCGUGAAGGAAGAAGGCUUUCGGGUUGUAAACUUCUUUUCUCAGGGACGAAGCAAGUGACGGUACCUGAGGAAUAAGCCACGGCUAACUACGUGCCAGCAGCCGCGGUAAUACGUAGGUGGCAAGCGUUAUCCGGAUUUACUGGGUGUAAAGGGCGUGUAGGCGGGAAAGUAAGUCAGAUGUGAAAACCAUGGGCUCAACCUGUGGCCUGCAUUUGAAACUGUUUUUCUUGAGUGCUGGAGAGGCAGACGGAAUUCCUAGUGUAGCGGUGAAAUGCGUAGAUAUUAGGAGGAACACCAGUGGCGAAGGCGGUCUGCUGGACAGCAACUGACGCUGAGGCGCGAAGGCGUGGGGAGCGAACAGGAUUAGAUACCCGAGUAGUC